rfam:Anaerobium acetethylicum strain GluBS11 genome assembly, contig: Ga0116910_1039
UCCUUGAUAGCUCAGUCGGUAGAGCACGCGGCUGUUAACCGCGGUGUCGUAGGUUCAAGUCCUACUCAGGGAG